rnacentral:rRNA from 1 species
AUUGAACGCUGGCGGCAGGCCUAACACAUGCAAGUCGAGCGGAUGAAGGGAGCUUGCUCCUGGAUUCAGCGGCGGACGGGUGAGUAAUGCCUAGGAAUCUGCCUGGUAGUGGGGGAUAACGUCCGGAAACGGGCGCUAAUACCGCAUACGUCCUGAGGGAGAAAGUGGGGGAUCUUCGGACCUCACGCUAUCAGAUGAGCCUAGGUCGGAUUAGCUAGUUGGUGGGGUAAAGGCCUACCAAGGCGACUAUCCGUAACUGGUCUGAGAGGAUGAUCAGUCACAUUGGAACUGAGACACGGCCCAGACUCCUACGGGAGGCAGCAGUGGGGAAUAUUGGACAAUGGGCGAAAGCCUGAUCCAGCCCUGCCGCGUGUGUGAUGAAGGUCUUCGGAUUGUAAAGCAAUUUAAGUUGGGAGGAAGGGCAGUAAGUUAAUACCUUGCUGUUUUGACGUUACCAACAGAAUAAGCACCGGCUAACUUCGUG